GAGCUGUCCCUGCCAUGGCAGGGGAUGGAACGGGAUCUUAAAAUCCCUUCCAAUCCAAACCAUUCAAUAAUUUCACAUAGAUAACUAAAGGAAAGAGUCCAUAUCCUAGACUAAGAAGAAAAAUGAAGUACAUUACUUUGAGGUUUCCUGUCCAACUAAGCUGAUGGAUCUUUUAGUGUUCCCCUCGAAAUUGCAAACAGACUUGUACUCAUUGGCCGAAGGAUUUUGUACGGGUUGCAGUUGAAUAGCGCUGACUGUUCAAUAAAUUAAUCCUCAAAAAUUCAAAAUAUGCCAAAUAGCUGGGGAAAGUGUAAACGCUGACUUUGUCACUUAGCAGAUGUGGACUCCACUUCUGGAGAAAGAGCAGACGAAGCUGGAUAACAACGAAGCUCUGUGGUGAAAUUGGUUGGGCUCUGUGAGAACACUCGAGGAGUGCUGUGCUGGAGCAGCCAGGUUAAGGGUUUCAGAAUUUUUGUUGUCACUGGCUCCACAAAGGGAAUCUUGGAUUGCCCCCUGCUUGGAUAGUGAUCACCUCAUGCCACUGAAUUCACUGGGAGUUUUACCCACAACGUGAUUGUUAUGGCGGCUUCGAAAGUCCUUAUCUGUUUUUCUAGAUACAUGGGUGAAACUCUGACCCUGUGUUUGAGGGUUUAUUAUUGUUUUUAUUAUUAUUUUCUGCCUUGACAAUGGCUAACAAUGUUUACUAUUGCUUUAUAAACACAAAGUCGGUUACUAAUGAGUAAAAGGGAGAGGUUUGCUGGAGUAGCCAGGGAGGAGGAGGUGGUUCUGUUAUGACCUAAGUCCCGCAGAUUUUCAGAUUCAAAUGUCAGAGUGGUGGGCUGCUCUCCAGUGACCGUGGUCAUGUUGGGAUCUGAAGGAGUUUUAUUUCCCUGAGCUCCAGGGAACAGGCAACGUCAGUCUGGUUACACGGCCAGCUUUGGGAUUUGAGCUGAACAAUGUGUUUGUGCUUGUUUGGUAAAGGGAAUUUAUUGGAGAUGCUGACCUGGGCCAAGUUCCUUAAGUGAAAUGGGGUUGACUUGGAGUUGAUGUCUUAGUGGAUUUCUGGGUGUUGUGGAUUUAUGGUGUUAGCCACAUGUGAAGCAGAGUAAAGGGAAAAGUGUGGAUUUCGUAACUCUGAGGAAUUGAGCUAAAGGGGAAAAUCAAGGAGUAAAAUGUAGCAUGGAUUACAAGAAGCUUUACAACUCUCUGAGCUGCCUGCAUUAAUUCCAAACUUGCUCUUCAGGAGCCUGAAAAACUCUGGACGAGCUCAGGAAGCUGAACUGGAAACUUGAAAAGGAAAUCAUGAUUAGGGCUCAUCUACAGCAAGAAAUAUUGUGAUUAAGCUGGAGGAAUUUCACAGCCAUAAGCAAGGCAAAGGAGGAAAACAGACCUGACAAGGAACAGCCAACACCCUGAGUUUUGCUGUCACAUACCUGCCUCACAUAAAUGUGCAAUUGCCCUCCCAACACAGGCAGAAGGAUGAAAUGAACGCUCAAUACCAAUCUCCAUCCUGCCCAGGAAGGAUUCUGAAACGUGUCCCGCAGGAGUUGGGCAUGUUCCAGCUUUCCUGGGCUGUGUUUCCUGGGGAGCAGCGCUAUGAGGCAAUGCCCUGGGCUAGGAAUUCAUCCCAGCACGGCUGCUGAAAGCAAACAAUGCAGAAGGACUCAUCUGAGAUGUACGUUGUCAGGCCUGAAUCCCAUUCUUUGGAAAAUCUCUGCAUGGAUUUCUUUAAACUCUGUUUUUGAUGACACUGAUUCUGGCUGAAGAUACUUUCCUGUGUCCAGCUCUAAAAGAAGUGGUUCCUAAACCUGAAUUUUCUGGUUUAGAUCUGACAAGUCUCACGAGCAGAAAACAAGUACGGAUAAAGUACCAACCCUGACCGUUCAGCAUCCACCACUUGAGGGCUGGAGUGAUGAAGGACCUUCCUCAGUGGUACAAGUCAUCUGUGCCAAAAUAUCUCUCCUGACUCACAAGUUAUCAGAACUGGAGGGCAGAGUUUUCCAAGGACUGCUGGUGAGUGUGGAGCCCCAGACCAUUUUUCCAUCCCCUCAUCUUUCCCCCUUUCUCCUCUCCCACUCAUCCACGAGGAGCAGCUGCAGGAUUCACUUGCAGCCAGAAGGGAAGACAGGCAGACAGCUGUCAUGCUGUGAGCCAGACCUUAAACUGUGCUUUGGAGGGGAACUUUUGAGCUUGGUUUCCCACUUGCAGAACAAAGAGCAGCUGCUUUUGACACUUGUAGCUUUGUGCUGAUGCUGGAGUUUGAUUUGCAAUUACAGAUCCCACGUAGGGAAACUGGAUUCAAACAACCAGUGCACAACAUUCUCUCUGGACUUCUUUUCAUUGAUCUUUUCACUGGGAAAAUAAACCCUCUGGAAAAAUGACUCCACAAUGAAA